AACACAUGCAAGUCGAGGGGCAGCGGGAUUGAAGCUUGCUUCAAUUGCCGGCGACCGGCGCACGGGUGAGUAACGCGUAUCCAACCUUCCGUACACUCAGGGAUAGCCUUUCGAAAGAAAGAUUAAUACCUGAUGGUAUGAUGAGAUUGCAUGAUAGCAUCAUUAAAGAUUUAUCGGUGUACGAUGGGGAUGCGUUCCAUUAGGUAGUAGGCGGGGUAACGGCCCACCUAGCCAACGAUGGAUAGGGGUUCUGAGAGGAAGGUCCCCCACAUUGGAACUGAGACACGGUCCAAACUCCUACGGGAGGCAGCAGUGAGGAAUAUUGGUCAAUGGACGAGAGUCUGAACCAGCCAAGUAGCGUGAAGGAUGAAGGUCCUACGGAUUGUAAACUUCUUUUAUAAGGGAAUAAACCCUCCCACGUGUGGGAGCUUGUAUGUACCUUAUGAAUAAGCAUCGGCUAACUCCGUGCCAGCAGCCGCGGUAAUACGGAGGAUGCGAGCGUUAUCCGGAUUUAUUGGGUUUAAAGGGAGCGCAGACGGGUCGUUAAGUCAGCUGUGAAAGUUUGGGGCUCAACCUUAAAAUUGCAGUUGAUACUGGCGUCCUUGAGUGCGGUUGAGGUGUGCGGAAUUCGUGGUGUAGCGGUGAAAUGCUUAGAUAUCACGAAGAACUCCGAUUGCGAAGGCAGCACACUAAUCCGUAACUGACGUUCAUGCUCGAAAGUGUGGGUAUCAAACAGGAUUAGAUACCCUGGUAGUCCACACGGUAAACGAUGGAUACUCGCUGUUGGCGAUAUACUGUCAGCGGCUUAGCGAAAGCGUUAAGUAUCCCACCUGGGGAGUAC
rnacentral:rRNA from 1 species